rnacentral:misc_RNA from 1 species
UCCGAUUUGUCACCGGAAUCAACCCUGGUUGUGCCGUAGCUAACGCGAUAAGUAUACCGCCUGGGGAGUACAGUCGCAAGGCUGAAACUCAAAAGAAUUGACGGGGACCCGCACAAGCAGUGGAGCAUGUGGUUUAAUUCGAUGCAACGCGAAGAACCUUACCUAGGCUUGACAUGCAUGGGAAAGCCCUGAGAAACCAGGGCCCCUCUUCGGAGUCCAUGCACAGGUGCUGCAUGGCUGUCGUCAGCUCGUGUCGUGAGAUGUUGGGUUAAGUCCCGCAACGAGCGCAACCCCCGUUCCCAGUUGCCAGCGCGUAAUGGCGGGGACUCUGGGAAGACUGCCGGUGCCAAACCGGAGGAAGGUGGGGAUGACGUUCGUCUGAC